UAUUUAGGUAGUGCCUCGAGUAUGAGACUGAUGGGGGUAAAGCACUGUUAUGGCUAGGGGGUUAUUGCAACUUACCAACCCAUGGCAAACUAAGAAUACCAUCAAGUUGCUCCUCGGGAGACAGACAUCGGGUGCUAACGUCCGGUGUCAAGAGGGAAACAACCCAGACCGCCAGCUAAGGUCCCAAAUGAUAGAUUAAGUGGUAAACGAAGUAGGAAGGCACAGACAGCCAGGAUGUUGGCUUAGAAGCAGCCAUCAUUCAAAGAAAGCGUAAUAGCUCACUGGUCGAGUCUUCCUGCGCGGAAGAUGUAACGGGGCUCAAAUCUAUAACCGAAGCUGCGGAUAUACUUUUGUAUAUGGUAGGGGAGCGUUCUGUAAGCCUGUGAAGGUGACUUGUAAAGGUUGCUGGAGGUAUCAGAAGUGCGAAUGUUGACAUGAGUAGCGAUAAAGCGGGUGAAAAGCCCGCUCGCCGAAAGCCCAAGGUUUCCUACGCAACGUUCAUCGGCGUAGGGUGAGUCGGCCCCUAAGGCGAGGCAGAAAUGCGUAGUCGAUGGGAAACAGGUUAAUAUUCCUGUACUUUGAUUCAAUGCGAUGUGGGGACGGAGAAGGUUAGGUUAGCAAACUGUUGGAAUAGUUUGUUUAAGCCAGUAGGUGGAAAGAGUAGGCAAAUCCGCUCUUUCUUAACACCGAGACGUGAUGACGAGUGUCUACGGACAUGAAGUGACCAAUACCACGCUUCCAGGAAAAGCCACUAAGCUUCAGUUGAAUCAGAACCGUACCGCAAACCGACACAGGUGGGCAGGAUGAGAAUUCUAAGGCGCUUGAGAGAACUCGGGAGAAGGAACUCGGCAAAUUGAUACCGUAACUUCGGGAGAAGGUAUGCCCUCUAAUGUUAAGGACUUGCUCCGUAAGCAUUUGAGGGUCGCAGAGAAUCGGUGGCUGCGACUGUUUAUUAAAAACACAGCACUCUGCUAACACGAAAGUGGACGUAUAGGGUGUGACGCCUGCCCGGUGCUGGAAGGUUAAUUGAAGAUGUGCAAGCAUCGGAUCGAAGCCCCAGUAAACGGCGGCCGUAACUAUAACGGUCCUAAGGUAGCGAAAUUCCUUGUCGGGUAAGUUCCGACCCGCACGAAUGGCGUAACGAUGGCCACACUGUCUCCUCCCGAGACUCAGCGAAGUUGAAAUGGUUGUGAAGAUGCAAUCUCCCCGCUGCUAGACGGAAAGACCCCGUGAACCUUUACUG
rnacentral:rRNA from 1 species